UUGCCGAUGAUGGUUAAGAAUUUCUUCACCUGAAUGAGCCGUGUGGUCAUAUCGUAUCUGAGGCAAA